AAUACCAUGUGGUUUUUCUUUUUAAGGCCAAUGAAGACUGCAAUGCUUCGUCUGCUCAAACCACAACCUCGGGGGAACCAGGAACUGAUUUUAGGCAGCCCGAUGGUCGUGGACCAUGAAAGAAGCUCAACCACGGGAUUACGAAGUUCAUGCCGCUCAAGAAGACCUUUGCGCUGCAAUCCAAGUUAGAACGGCGCAAUGGAGCAUUUGG